UACGGGGGGGGGCAAGCGUUGUUCGGAAUUACUGGGCGUAAAGCGUGCGCAGGCGGUUGUGCAAGACAGAUGUGAAAUCCCCGGGCUCAACCUGGGAAUUGCAUUUGUGACUGCACGGCUAGAGUGUGUCAGAGGGGGGUAGAAUUCCACGUGUAGCAGUGAAAUGCGUAGAGAUGUGGAGGAAUACCGAUGGCGAAGGCAGCCCCCUGGGAUAACACUGACGCUCAUGCACGAAAGCGUGGGAGCAAACAGG
rnacentral:rRNA from 1 species